rnacentral:rRNA from 1 species
GAUGAACGCUGGCGGCGUGCCUAAUACAUGCAAGUCGAGCGAACAGACGAGGAGCUUGCUCCUCUGACGUUAGCGGCGGACGGGUGAGUAACACGUGGAUAUCCUACCUAUAAGACUGGGAUAACUUCGGGAAACCGGAGCUAAUACCGGAUAACAUGUUGAACCGCAUGGUUUAACAGUGAAAGACGGUCUUGCUGUCACUUAUAGAUGGAUCCGCGCCGCAUUAGCUAGUUGGUAAGGUAACGGCUUACCAAGGCAACGAUGCGUAGCCGACCUGAGAGGGUGAUCGGCCACACUGGAACUGAGACACGGUCCAGACUCCUACGGGAGGCAGCAGUAGGGAAUCUUCCGCAAUGGGCGAAAGCCUGACGGAGCAACGCCGCGUGAGUGAAGAAGGUCUUCGGAUCGUAAAACUCUGUUAUUAGGGAAGAACAAAUGUGUAAGUAACUAUGCACGUCUUGACGGUACCUAAUCAGAAAGCCACGGCUAACUACGUG